CGAUGAUCUUCUCUCCAACCUUAGCUUGUAAAUCUCAGAUUGUUCUGCACCUUUUUUUCUUAACCAUGAGAAUUGUGUUUUCUGACUUCAGAAAACCCUGAGUUGACAUUUGGAAGACACUAUAAAAGAAAAGCCAAGAAAGAUUCUUUCCUUUUGGAUUGGUAAUAGAUCAAUGUGCCUCUGUCAUCAUUUAGAUGUUUCUUACAGUUUUGUGGGUCAAUUACUUUGGUAGUCUUAUCCUCAAGACAACAAGUCAUGGGUACAA